rnacentral:lncRNA from 1 species
AUGGGGUCACAAAGAGUCAGACACAACCUAGAAACUAAACCACCACCACAAGAAACUCCUAGGAUUUGUCAUACAUUUCCUGAAACCUGUUCUUCCCUAUCUCUUAGGUAUUUCGGGCAUCCCCAAAGGAACAAUAAGUUUCUCAAGACAGAUUGUAUGCUCGAUCUUGACUCCCAGCUGCUUGAUUGUGUUGUGUAUUUGGACAAAUUGAAUGAUUUGGAUAACUCCUUUUGAGCAGGUGAGGAUUUUCCACAAUAAACCUGAAAACAAGAAGAAUCUGGUUUUUGGACGGCAACUCUGUCCAUCAGAUUCAUCUAAAUAGCGGUUCAGUGUGCUGCCUCUGCGAACACUCAACUUUGGUUCAGUGCUUAGGAGAAGUAAGCAUUCUUGCUACUCUUUCAUACCAGUACAUCUCAUCCCAUUAACUGAAACAAAGUGAGAAGGAGGCCAAGAGGCUGUGGUCUAUGCCGGCAUUCCUCAGACCAUUUUGGUUUCCUUAUCUGGACCACUAGCAAUAUCCAGAGGUGUGUGGCUAGACGGUCACAACAGAAUUUCAAAGCUGAAAUACAAAAGAUUAUUCCCAGAACAUCUUCUGAGGCCAGAGAGGAAAAUGCUUUAUGAUUUGUUUUUCAUUUGUUCUUUCCUCUUUUUUUCAACUGCUGCUGACAUACAUGAUGGGUUAUUAUUUAUUUCCAUCUUGUUCUGGCUUCUAAAACAUUCCCCCUAUCCCUGGUGUGUGUCAACUUUCAGAUAUCACUUGGGAAUGGCUGGCUUCCUCCCCUCUACUUCACUGGGAGCCCUGGUGAAGGUGGGGUCCCCUAGCUGAGAAGCGGUAUCCCUCUCCUGUGGCAUUCUGGGAGGCCAUUUGGAGUCCCAGAUGUAGGAAAUGAAAUAAUCCAUGCUCAUACAGUCACAAAGUGCCCAUCUGGCACCCAGGAACCCUGCUUGAUAGGAGCACACAGGCGUGAGCUCACUAUUGUUAUGGCAUUUCAUAAACAGAGCUGCAGCAGCCAGAGAAGGACUUUGGGUUGAUAACAAUCAUUUCCCACUCCCUUCCCUUUCUGCUUGCUUCCCUCCAAACACACUGCCACCCCCGCCCCCCCCCCCUCCCCCCCCGCCGCCCCCCCCA